rnacentral:misc_RNA from 1 species
UAAUAGUGUUUUAUGGCACUUUUUAAAUCCAUAUCCACCUUGUGUGCAAUGUCAGUCGAUCUUCUUCAUGGAGAUCGACCAAACAUCAACCUUUAUCUUUUAACUCUUUGUCUGAAAAUAUUAUGAAUAAACAAUUCAAAAUA